GAUGAACGCUGGCGGCGUGCCUAAUACAUGCAAGUCGAGCGAACAGACGAGGAGCUUGCUCCUCUGACGUUAGCGGCGGACGGGUGAGUAACACGUGGAUAACCUACCUAUAAGACUGGGAUAACUUCGGGAAACCGGAGCUAAUACCGGAUAAUAUAUUGAACCGCAUGGUUCAAUAGUGAAAGACGGUUUUGCUGUCACUUAUAGAUGGAUCCGCGCCGCAUUAGCUAGUUGGUAAGGUAACGGCUUACCAAGGCAACGAUGCGUCGCCGACCUGAGAGGGUGAGCGGCCACACUGGAACUGAGACACGGUCCAGAGUCCUACGGGAGGCAGCAGUAGGGAAUCUUCCGCAAUGGGCGAAAGCCUGACGGAGCAACGCCGCGUGAGUGAUGAAGGUCUUCGGAUGGGAAAAGUCUGUUAUUAGGGAAGAAGAAAUGUGUAAGUUACUGGGCGCGUCUUGACGGUACCUAAUCAAAAAGGCACAGCAGAAUACUUA
rnacentral:rRNA from 1 species